UCUAUCGUGAGGUAGAAUCUGAAGGAAGUCCUAGACGAAACAUCGAAUCGAUGAACAAGAAGUGGCUAAAAGGCUGGAAACGGUGGGAUGAGAUUACCUAACAAAUCGAAGUCCCUGACCACUCGAAACCGUCACAGUAAAGCCAACGGUUUGAUGCGAAAGCUACUGCU
rfam:Lactobacillus similis DSM 23365 = JCM 2765 strain DSM 23365 NODE_35, whole genome shotgun sequence.